GGGGAGAAGGGCACAGUCAGCACACUCGAGCCGCCAGAGCACUCGGGCCGGGAGGCUGCUAUCCCGCCCUGCUGGGGGCUCACCUGGGAGCGGCAGGUCAAGGCGUUGAAGAGGUCGAAGAGCACAAAGCAGGUCACUGGCUCUCUCAGCACAGGGGUGCCUGAACCUGUGGGGCCACAGAAAGGUGACCCAUGGAAAGACCCCCCCCCCCCCUGCCUACAGAGGAGAAAAGACAGUCUCUUCAGACUGGAUGGCUACAGGUAAGGGUGAAAUCGAAACAUUCUCUAACACCACACACAGAGACAAACUCAAAAUGGAUUAAAGACCUAAAUGUAAGACUGGAUACUGUAAAAAUCCGAGAGGGGAACAGGAAGAACACUUGACAUAAACCACAGCAACACUUUCUCUGAUCCUCCCUAAUGAAAGUAACAAUGAAAAUAAACACGUGGGGCCUCCUUAAACUUGCUUCAGCGUGUGAAAUGUAACACAGCAGGGGCUUCUGUGAGCUUGACGGUCGUCCAGGAAGGAAGGGCCCGAACCUGGAAGCUUUGGCACCUGCUGGCCCAGGCCUCCCAGGGCUGGCUGACCCUCAGGCCCAGCAGACCUUGGUCCAAACGGUAAGUCUUGUCACUUCGUAAAGCCAUUUUAGUGUCCUUGACCAAUGGCAUUCCUGCUGAGAUGCAAGAGGCUUCGUUGCCUGGAUGAAUACAGGGCGGGCUUUCAAGCCCUGAGACCCUGAGUCGAGGAGCUUGAAUUUCUUUCCCGUGCGUUUUUAAUUGGAGGAUAAUUGCUGAACAGUGUUGUGUUGAUUUCUGCUGUACAGCGCCGUGAAUCGGCCGUGAGCAUGCACAUACUGCCCCCUCCUGAACCAGCGUCCUCCCCGGCUAGGUCAUCACAGAGCUGAGCUCCCCGAGCUAUGCCGCAGCGCCCCACUAGAUGUCUGUCUUACGCCGGUCAAGUGGAUGUUCUGGUGCUACUUCCAAGAGCUGGGUUCUCACGGAACAUUCCUCUGAGGACUUUUCCAGUUGUCCUUGAUAUUUCCAUGCAAUGAGGAGUGUCCAGUUUUCAAGUCUUAACAGCUACUUCUGGGGACUUGGCCCCCAUCUCUGGGAUCUGAAUGGGAGUCAUGGCCCAUCUUCCUGUCUUAGAAGCGUACAGUGAUCUCUGCUCCCCUUGGGGACUCCUCUCUUUCUCGCCUUACAGUUUGCCACUUGGAGUGGAGGCUCAGCAGGCAGGGUGACGGUGCUGCCAGUUCUUUCCAGACCUCUGUCAAAAGGGAGUGAGCAGGGAAGACCACCGCUCCCCCACAAGCCUGGGCGUUCUUCGUGCGUGCUGUCCACAGCCCUCCACUGUGCUCGGAACCCUUUGCCGGUGCACUAAUCUCUUUGGAGAUAGACAUGUUAAUUUUCUUUUGCAUAAUACUUAGUACAAUGUCUGAAUUAAUUAUUAACAUUUAAAAUAUUUCCUUUCUUAACUCCCCCAUUUGCUUUGCUCACAGCCUAUUAUAUUCCUUCAUUUGGCAGAAUUCUGCAACCUCACCCACUACUGAGAUUGCUCGGUCCCUGAUGUAUGGCUAUUGAUUUGUUUCUGGUGGUAGCUUGUCCUAAAAUGUGUGUAACAAGCAGGUGUUUUAUGAUAAAGUUGUUGUGUAGUGCAUGCUCUGUGUGGAAUGCAGAGAAAGAUCCAGAUUCCGCGUAACAGUGCCCCAAAUAUAAGCAGCCAUUGUUCAAAUCA